rnacentral:lncRNA from 1 species
UCAUGGGCUAAGCGUUUUUGUUUACAAAGCCCGUACGGCAUCCUCCUUCUUGCUCGAAGAUGGAAAAACGUAGCUCCCUAUUGCUAGCCUGGACCUCUGCAUCCUACUACUAAGUAUGUAAAAAUGAGAGAAGAGAAAGGUAAAGGUUCUCAAAAAACUAAGUACUCCACUACUUAGAAAAGUAGGACUACAAUACACAACUCCUCUUGUGUCUCCACUUCUACUUUGGCCUUAGCCAACAUUCCUACUUAUAGCUGCUCCUAAAUACAAUGAAUGUAGGCUACACUAAC